rnacentral:tRNA from 1 species
GCUGAUAUAGCUCAGUCGGUAGAGUGCACCCUUGGUAAGGGUGAGGUCCCCAGUUCGACUCUGGGUAUUAGCACCA